rnacentral:rRNA from 1 species
GAUGAACGCUGGCGGCGUGCCUAAUACAUGCAAGUCGAGCGAACAGAUGAUGAGCUUGCUCCUCUGACGUUAGCGGCGGACGGGUGAGUAACACGUGGAUAACCUACUUAUAAUACUGGGAUAACUUCGGGAAACCGGAGCUAAUACCGGAUAAUAUAUUGAACCGCAUGGUUCAAUAGUGAAAGACGGCUUUGCUGUCACUUAUAGAUGGAUCCGCGCCGGAUUAGCUAGUUGGUAAGGUAACGGCUUACCAAGGCAACGAUGCGUAGCCGACCUGAGAGGGUGAUCGGCCACACUGGAACUGAGACACGGUCCAGACUCCUACGGGAGGCAGCAGUAGGGAAUCUUCCGCAAUGGGCGAAAGCCUGACGGAGCAACGCCGCGUGAGUGAUGAAGGUCUUCGGAUCGUAAAACUCUGUUAUUAGGGAAGAACAAAUGUGUAAGUAACUAUGCACGUCUUGACGGUACCUAAUCAGAAAGCCACGGCUAACUACGUG